rnacentral:rRNA from 1 species
UACGUAGGAGGCGAGCGUUGUCCGGAUUUACUGGGCGUAAAGCGCGCGCAGGCGGCACGCCAAGUACGGAGUGAAAUCUCCCUGCCCUAACGGGGAGGGUGCUCUGUAAACUGGCGAGCUGGAGUACGGUAGGGGCAGAGGGAAUUUCCGGUGGAGCGGGUGAAAUGCGUAGAGAUCGAAAGAACACCAACGGCGAAAGGCACUCUGCUGGGCCGACACUGACACUGAGAGACGAAAGCUAGGGGAGCGAAUGGG